GAUGAACGCUGACAGAAUGCUUAACACAUGCAAGUCAACUUGAACUUCGGUUUGGGUGGCGGACGGGUGAGUAACGCGUAAAGAACUUGCCUCACAGCUAGGGACAACAUUUGGAAACGAAUGCUAAUACCUGAUAUUAUGAUUUUAGGGCAUCCUAGAAUUAUGAAAGCUAUAUGCGCUGUGAGAGAGCUUUGCGUCCCAUUAGCUAGUUGGAGAGGUAACGGCUCACCAAGGCGAUGAUGGGUAGCCGGCCUGAGAGGGUGAACGGCCACAAGGGGACUGAGACACGGCCCUUACUCCUACGGGAGGCAGCAGUGGGGAAUAUUGGACAAUGGACCAAGAGUCUGAUCCAGCAAUUCUGUGUGCACGAUGAAGUUUUUCGGAAUGUAAAGUGCUUUCAGUUGGGAAGAAAAAAAUGACGGUACCAACAGAAGAAGUGACGGCGAAAUACGU
rnacentral:rRNA from 1 species